AUUGCAACAGGCCAGGAGAAGUGUUUAAGUUCUUUCCCUUUUGGUUCAGACUGAGAAGAGUCCUGUUUUGCCUCCUUGUUUAAAGCUCCCUUGCCUACGUUGUCAUUCUCUCUAGCUCAUUGAAAACCUUUAGGAAAUUUCACAUACUUGGUAUUGUGAUAUUGUGGUAUUGUGGAGAACCAAAGGAUGGGACAGUAAAUGACGUUUGGUCUUCCCUCAACCACCCCUCUGCCCAGCAUGCCAGCAGAACGUUUUAUUAAGGGAGGCUGGCAGUACCAAGGCUUUCAGCAGCAACCAGCUGCAAACUGAACAGAGGCUUAAUUAACACAAAGGCUGGAAGCCUUGAGAGGGAACCGGGGGUAAUGAAGACAUAGCUAGAUGGUGGCCUGAUUUGGGGACAAACAUGAGACAAACUUGCUAUUUCUUUUUCCCCAAAUAUACUACAGAAAUGUGACUGACUCUUGAGAAGAGUGGAGAAUAUGAAUGUGCCGGGGGGAAGAAGGUAAACACACGAGUUAGCUAAACAUGGAAAUGUUUUACAAUGGAAUGUUUUUGACAUAUGUCUUCAUAGCAAAAUUUAACUGUCCUUUUCAGUUUCACCAACAGGUUCUUUCUCCCUUGGAGGCCAUUUGUAACUGGCAGACAAAGCUGUUAUGUGCUGAGCUCAUCCUUCACUGGUGGAGUACCCCAAAACUGAACAGAGCUCUGGAUGCUUCUGCUCUCCAGCCUUGUAGCAUAGAGAAGAAUACGUAAAUCCCGUUAAUGAACAUUUGAAAUGAAUUUUGAUGCACUAUUAAAACAGAAACAACUUAAAAAUGCAUGAAGGUCUGGACAGGUACGGGACAUCAUUGGGAACAUCAAGCAUUAAUCCAGGUAGGUGAGGGGAGGGGAGAAUGGUCUCUAUCAUGUGCUUUUACUAUCACUUAGCAGAUGUGGUAUUUUGAGGUAAUCACCAUAAUACCACCUGUUUAGUCUUAAC
rnacentral:lncRNA from 1 species